rnacentral:lncRNA from 1 species
UAGUAGAGACGGGGUUUCACCGUUUUAGCUGGGAUGGUCUCGAUCUCCUGACCUCGUGAUCCGCCCGCCUCGGCCUCCCAAAGUGCUGGGAUUACAGGCGUGAGCCACCGCGCCCGGCCUAUGAUUUCUUUUAGCAGUGUUUUGUAGUUUUCCUUGUAGAGGUCUUUCACCUCCUUGGUUAGGAAUAUUCCUAAUUAUUUUGAUUUUUUAAAUUUUUUAUUUUUUUUUUGCAGUUAUUGUAAAUGGGGUUGAGUUCUUUAUUUGAUUCUCAGCUUGAUCAUUGUUGGUGUAUAGCAGUACUACUUAUUUGUGUACAUUAAUUUUGUUUUCUGAAACUUUUCUGAAUUCAUUGAUCAGUUCUAGGAGCUUUUUGGAUAAGUCUUAAGAGUUUUCUAGGUAUAUGAUCAUAUCAUCAGCAAACAGUGACAGUUUGACUUCCUCUUUACUGAUUUAGAUGCCCUUGAUUUCUUUCUCUUGUCUGAUUGCUCUGGCUAGGACUUCUAGUACUAUGUGGAAUAGAAGUGGUGAAUAGAAAUAGAAGUGGUUGAAUAGAAGUAGGCAUCCUUGUCUUAUUCCAGUUCUCAGGGGGAAUGCUUUCAACUUUUCCCCGUUCAGUAUAAUGUUGGUUGUUGGUUUGUCAUAGAUGACUUUUAUUACAUUAAGGUAUUUCCCUUCUAUGCCAAUUUUGCUGAGGGUUUUAAUGAUUAAGGGAUGCUGAAUUUUGUCAGAUGUUUUCUCCAUGUUUUUAAAGAUUAUUGUAUGGUUUUUGUUUUUAAUUCUAGUUAUGUGGUGUAUCACAUUUAUUGACUUGUGUAUAUUAAACCAGUCCUGCAUCCCUGAUAUGAAACCCACUUGAUCAUGGUGGUUUACCUUUUUCAUAUGCUGUUGGAUUUGGUUAGCUAGUAUUUUGUUGAGGAUUUUGGCAUCUAUGUUCAUCAGGGAUAUUGGUCUGUAGUUUUCUUUUUUUGUUAUGUCCUUUCCUGUUUUUGGUAGUAGGGUGAUACUAGCUUCAUAGAAUGAUUUAGUGGGGAUUCCUUCUUUCUGUAUCUUCUGGAAUAUUUGUCAGAAGGAUUGGUACCAAUUCUUGGAAUGUUUGACAGAAUUCAGCUGUAAAUCCUUCUGGUCCUGGAUUUUUUUUAUUGGUUGGCAAUUUUUAAAUUACAGUUUCAGUCUUGCUGCUUGUUAUUGGUCUGUUCAGAGUUUCUAUUUAUUCCUGGUCUAAUCUAGGAGGGUUGUAUAUUUUCAGGAAUUUAUCCAUCUCCUUUAGGUUUUCUACUUUAUGUGUGUAAAGGUUUUCAUAGUAGCCUUGAAUGAUCUUUUGUGUUUCUGUGGUAUCAUUUGUAAUAUCUUCUGUUUCAUUUCUAAUUGAGCUUAUUGAUCUUAUCUCUUCUUUUUUUGGUUAAUCUCACUAAUGGUCUAUCUAUUUUAUUUAUCUUUUCAAAGAACCAGCCUUUUGUCUCAUUUAUCUUUUGUAUUGUUUUUGUUUGUUUCAAUUUAAUUUAGUGCUGCUGUGAUCUUGGUUGUUUCUUUUCUUCCCUUGGGUUUGGGUUUGCUUUGUUCUUGUCUGUCUAGUUCCUUGAGGUGUGACCUUAGAUUGUCUGUUUGUGCUCUUUUAGACUUUUUGAUGUAGGCAUUUAAUGCUACAAACUUUCCUCUUACACCACUUUUGCUGUGUCCCAGAGGUUUUGAUAUGUUAUGUCAUUAUUAUUGUUCAGUUCAAAGAAUUUUUAAAUUUCCCCUUUGAUUUCAUUGUUAACCCAGUGAUCAUUCAGAAGCAGGUUAUUGAAUUACCAUGUAUUUGUAAGGUUUUGAGGGUUCCUUUUGGAGUUGAUUUCCAAUUUUAUUCCACUGUGGCCUGAGAGAGUACUUGAUAUAAUUUCAAUUUUCUUAAAUUUAUUCAGACUUGUUUUGUAGCCUAUGAUAUGGUCUAUCUUGGAGAAUGCUCCAUGUGCUAAGUAGAAUGUAUAUUCUGCAGUUGUUAGGUAGAAUGUUCUGUAAUUAUUUGUUACAUCUAUUUCUUCUAGGGGAAAGUUUAAGUCCAUUGUUUCUUUGUAAACUUUCUGUCUUGAUGGCCUGUCUAGUGUUUUCAGUGGAAUAUUGAAGUCCCCCACUAUUAUUGUGUUGCUGUCUAUCUCAUCUCUUAGAUCUAGUAGUAACUGUUUUAUACAUUUGAGAGCAUUGGUGUUAGGUGCAUCUGUAUUUAGAAUUGUGAUAUUUUCCUGUUGGACAAGGUCUUCUAUUAUUAUAGAAUGUUCCUCCUUGUCUUUUUUAACUGCUCUUGCUUUUAACUUUGUUUUGUCUGAUGUAAGAACAGCUACUCCUGCUUGUGUUUGGUGUCUGUUUGUAUGAAGUUUCUUUUUCUACAUCUUUACCUUAAGUUUAUGUGAGUCGUUAUGUAUUAGGCGAGUCUCUUGAAGAAGAGAUACUUGGUUGGUGAAUUCUUACCCAUUCUGCCAUUCUGUAUCUUUUAAGUGGAGCAUUUUGGCCAUUUACAUUCAAGGUUAGUACUGAGAUGUGAGGUACUGUUCUAUUCAUCAUACUGUUUGUUGCCUGAAUACCUUGUGCUUUUUUUUCAUUGUGUUAUUAUUUUAUCAGUCCUGUGAGAUUUAUGCCUUAAGGAGGUUCUGUUUUGGUGUAUUUUGAGGAUUUAUUUCAAGAUUUAGAGCUCUAGUUCUUGUAGUGCUUGUUUAGUAGUGGCAAAUUCUCUUAGCAUCUGUUCAUCUGAAAAAGACUGUAUCUUUUCUUCAUUUAUGAUGCUUAGUUUUUCUGGAUACAAAAUUCUUGGCUGAUAAUCAUUUUGUUUAAGGAGGCUAAAGAUAGGACCCCAAUACCUUCUAGCUUGUAGGGUUUCUGUUGAGAAAUCUGUGGUUAAUUUGAUAAGCUUUCCUUUAUAGGUUACCUGAUGCUUUUGCCUUACAGCUCUUAAGAUUCUUUCCUUAGUCUUUACUUUAGAUGAUCUGAUGACUAUAUGCCUACGUGAUGAUCCUUUUGUGGUGAAUUUCCCAGGUGUUCUUUGAGCUCCUUGUAUUUGGAUAUCUAGAUCUCUAACAAGGCUGAGGAAGUUUUCCUUGAUUUUUCCCUCAAAUAUUCUUUCCAAACUUUUAGAUUUUUAUUCUUCCUUGGGAUAUCAAUUAUUCUUAGGUUUGGUCAUUUAACAUAAUCCCAAACUUCUUGGCAGCUUUGUUCAUUUUUAAAAAUUCUUUUCUUUUUGUCUUUUUUGGAUUGGGUUAAUGCAAAAGCCUUGUCUUCACAUUCUGAAGUCCUAUUUUCUGCUUAUUCAUUUCUAUUGCUGAGACUUUCCAGUGCAUUGUGCAUUUCUCUAAGUGUGUCCUUCAUUUCCAGAAAUUGUGAUUGUUUUUUAUUUAUGGUAUCUAUUUCUCAGGAGAUUUUUCCAUCAAUAUCUUGUAACAUUUAUUUGAUUCGUUUAAGUUGAUAUUCACCCUUCUCUGGUACCUCCUUGAGUAGCCUAAUAAUUAACCUUCUGAAUUCUUUUUCUGGAAAUUCAGAGAUUUCUUCUUGGUUUGUAUCUCUUGCUGGUGAGCUAGUGUGAUUUUGGGGGGUGUUAAAGAUCCUUGUUUUGUCAUAUUACCGGAAUUGUUUUUCUAGUUCCUUCUCAUUUGGAUAGACUAUGUCAGAGGGAAGAUCUGGGGCUCAAGGACUGCUGUUCAGAGUUUUCUGCCCCAUGGGGUGCUCCCUGGUUGUGGGUGCUCAAGGAUGUGGCUUCCUGAGAGCCAGACUGCAGUGAUUAUUAUUUCUCUGUUGGAUCUUGCUGCCCAGCAGAGCUACUGGGCUCCAUGCUGGUAUUGGAGAGUGUCUGCAAAGAGUCCUGUGAUGUGAUCCAUCUUAAGGUCUCCCAGCCGUGGAUAUCAGUACCUGCUGCAGUGGAGAUACCAGGGGAGUGACGUGAGGGCCUUUGGUUGUAUUUUUAUUACACCAAUUUUGUGUUGGUUGGCCUCCAGUCAGGAGGUGGCGCUUUCAAGAGAGCAUAAACUGCGGUAGUGUAGGGAGGAUACAAGCUUGCCGUAGAGUUGCCUGGAUAAGUUUCUCAGACAGUGGGCAGGGCCAUAGCGCUCCCAACAGACUUUGUCCUUUGUCUUCAGCUACGAGGGAACAGUUGGCCUUUUUGGAUGAAGGUGUGAUUACUGGAAAGGAGUACUGCCAGGUGAUAAAGUAAGAAGACAAAGAUGCAGACAAUCAAAAGCAGCCACAUCAGUCUGGUGAUGGGCAAGGGAACACGUGUCAAAGCCAGCUGACCUUUACAUACAUCACGGCUAACUAGAAAACCAUUUGGUGACUUGCUAGUUCCUCGAACUUCUGGGAAAGAGAAUGGUGUUAUAGGUGAGAGAAUGGGGUGAAAUCAGGGAGGUGUAAAAUAACAGGAUUUAUUGGAAGGAUAAGAUUUUCAAUGCAGUUGAAAUAGAGGAUUAAGGUGGGGGGGAAUGUGGCAACAGAAUUUUUGUCAUCACAAUAAACCAAAGGCAUAAUAAAGUACCUAAGAGAUGUUUUGCUCAAAAUUGUCCAAAAUGGCACAGCCAGAGCUCUCUCUUCUAGGAGUCUAUCAAGAAAAUGUGUACUGAUACAGAACAUAGUCAUAGCUGUGUGGAGGAGACAUAGCUAAAAUGCACAGAGAGCUUUACAUGUACCAUCAGAUUUAAUCUCCAUACAACCUGUUGUGUUGUAUCUACUAUUAUUUUCCCUACUUGAUUUAUGUGGAAACUAAAGCUUGGAAAGGGCAGGUAACUUCCCAGGGUAAAAGCUAACCCAGAAUUAGGGCCCAGGUCUUUUGAACUUCAGGGCCUAUGGUGAUGACCAAUAGGCGGUGCUGCUCCUCACUACACUAUUCUGUGAGUAUUGUAUCUGUGCCUCACUUCUAUACGCUAAACUGUAGCUAUCAAAGGCUAUUGGAUUUUUUAAAAAUUCAGACAUUCAUAGAUUUAAAAAAAUCUUUCCAUCAUUAUUAACUAAGAGUUGACCAUAUGCUUAGUACUGGGGUAGGUUGUUUGCUUUAAUUAAAGAUGCAGGCAUUAAUCAAACAUUUCCAUAUGAGUGUGUUGGCUAAGUUUGGUAUUCUAGUGUGAAAUGCAAAGUCUGUGAUAUUUAAACAUAAUUACAGAAUCAAAAUUGUGUGUAUUCAGAUGAAAUUUUUCCAUUGGUAUUAAUACAUUGGAUACAAGUGUAAUUUUGUUACAUUGAUGUCUAUAGUGGUGAAGUCAGGGCUUUUAGUGUAUCCAUCACUAGAGUAACUACAUUGUACCCAUGUGUGUAUUAUCAUUGUCCUAUUUUCAAAGCAGAGCAAUUGCUUUUCAGAAUUAAGUUUACACAGACAAGGAUUUUUCCAAAUUGAUAAUUAAAUGUCCUUGCUGUAGUCAGGGUCCUAACUUCAGUCAUGGG